rnacentral:rRNA from 1 species
AGCGAACGCUGGCGGCAGGCUUAACACAUGCAAGUCGAACGGGCAUAGCAAUAUGUCAGUGGCAGACGGGUGAGUAACGCGUGGGAACAUACCUCUUGGUUCGGAACAACACAGGGAAACUUGUGCUAAUACCGGAUAAGCCCUUACGGGGAAAGAUUUAUUGCCGAGAGAUUGGCCCGCGUCUGAUUAGCUAGUUGGUGAGGUAAGAGCUCACCAAGGCGACGAUCAGUAGCUGGUCUGAGAGGAUGAUCAGCCACAUUGGGACUGAGACACGGCCCAAACUCCUACGGGAGGCAGCAGUGGGGAAUAUUGGACAAUGGGCGCAAGCCUGAUCCAGCCAUGCCGCGUGAGUGAUGAAGGCCCUAGGGUUGUAAAGCUCUUUUGUACGGGAAGAUAAUGACGGUACCGUAAGAAUAAGCCCC